CGGGGGAUAUUGCACAAUGGGCGAAAGCCUGAUGCAGCGACGCCGCGUGGGGGAUGAAGGCCUUCGGGUUGUAAACUUCUUUUGCUCUGAACAAGGCAUGCCUUUGGGGUGUGUUGAGUGUAGGGGUUGAUUAGCGCCGGCUAACUACGUGCCAGCAGCCGCGGUAAUACGUAGGGCGCGAGCGUUGUCCGGAAUUAUUGGGCGUAAAGGGCUUGUAGGUGGCUGGUUGCGUCUGUCGUGAAAGCUCAUGGCUUAACUGUGGGUUUGUGGUGGGUACGGGCUGGCUUGAGUGCAGUAGGGGAGGCUGGAAUUCCUGGUGUAGCGGUGGAAUGCGCAGAUAUCAGGAGGAAUACCGGUGGCGAAGGCGGGUCUCUGGGCUGUUACUGACGCUGAGGGGCGAAAGCGUGGGGAGCGAACAGG
rnacentral:rRNA from 1 species